rfam:Triticum aestivum genome assembly, contig: Triticum_aestivum_CS42_TGACv1_scaffold_000452_1AL
CUUGUAUCACCUCCGUUCCAAAAUUCUUGUCUUAGAUUUGUCUAGAUAUGGAUGUAUCUAACAUUAAAACGUGACUAGAUACAUCAGUAUCUAGACAAAUCUAAGACAAGAAUUUUGGACAGAGGGAGUAUAUG